UACGGAGGAUGCAAGCGUUGUCCGGAAUCAUUGGGCGUAAAGGGUCCUGAGGUGGUUUGAUCAGUCCACUGUGAAAGUUCAGGGCUUACCCUUGAAAAUGCGGUGGAAACUAGUAGGCUAGAGUACGGUGGGGGCAGAGGGAAUUCCCGAUGUAGCGGUGAAAUGCAUAGAUAUCGGGAAGAACACCGAUGGCGAAGGCACUCUGCUGGGCCGACACUGACACUGAAAGACGAAAGCCAGGGGAGCGAAUGGG
rnacentral:rRNA from 1 species